AUCCAGGACUCUCCAAACCUACAGCCCAAUUUCUACUGAGAAUUUUUUUUUUUUUUUUCACUACAGACUCUUUUAUUUACAACAGUCUUUCAAAAGAAACCUUUCUUCUGCAUCCACGUGCAAGUUAAGUAAGCUUGAGGAACAUCAUCAAGAAUGGGAUGGUGAAUAUAUGAAUAGAAUAGCUGCAACCUCACGUCAGUUGAAUUUAAUCAGUAGAGCAGCUGUGUCCCGUCUUCGGUACCAUGGUGUGGGGGUGUAUUAGUCUUGUUUUCAUGCUGCUGAUAAAGACAUACCGGAGACUGGGAAGAAAAAGAAGUUUAAUUGGACUUACAGUUCCACGUGGCUGGGGAGGCCUCAGAAUCAUGGCGGGAGGCGAAAGGCGUUUCUUACGCAGCAGCAGCAAGAGAAAAUAAGGAGCAAGC
rnacentral:lncRNA from 10 species